ACGGCCAUACCAUGAUGAAUAUACCGGUUCUCGUUAAAGAAGUCAAGCAUCAUUGGGCGCGGUCAGUACCGGUGACCACCUGGGAACACCGCGUGCCGUUG